CUAAUUUGACACAAAUCUCUAUAUUGUCUAGUAAAUAAAGAGUAAAACCCUUGGAUUUUUUAUUAAAUAAAUUAUAAAGAUUUUUAAAAAUUCCCCAUCUAUUAAAUUCUCUAAUUCUUCUUACAGGCACGUUUUUGUUGAGUAUCUUACUCGUAAUAAAAGAAGUAUAGGACUAUAAACUUCUUUUAUUCCAAUAAUGGCAUUCAAUUCCAUAAAUUUAGUCUACAUCCCAACCAAGGUGGAUUGUUCAAAUCUACAGAAAAAUAAAAAAUAAAAAUUGAAGUUCUUAAAUUCAUGAAUUUCCAAAUUCAAUGCAAACAUACCCUAAAAUAAUGAUAUUUUGGUCAUUAGAAAUGACACUUCAAAUCUAUAUAUACCCUUGUAGUUGUACAGCUAUAAUCUGCAUUAAUAAUAAGAAUGCUAUUUAUGAUAUCAGCAACUUGGCAUUAGACCACUGCCAAGUCAAAUUUGAUCCUAGAUAAUCUGUCCUACCGAGCCUAUGUAUAACAUUUUAACUAGAACUUACAGGUGAAUAUUGCUGAAAAAUGAUGCAGAACAGAGAGACUCUUGGAGCAGAAGACUUCAUUGAUCACUUCCUUUUGAAAAACAGACUUCAGAAACCCCACAUAGAAAUGAAGAAUCCCAAUAUUUAAUACAAUGCUCAAUUUAAUCUUGAGCUUUCACCGGCACGUUUUAUUUGCAA
rnacentral:misc_RNA from 1 species